rnacentral:lncRNA from 1 species
ACCUGCACUACCCGACACCGACGCGAAAGCACAAAGCCUAACUCCGGAGUGGCACUCGGGGGAGCUACCCAGCCGAGUAUGCAGCGUAGCUCUGUCGAGCUCAAUCAGGCCCUAACCAGCCAAACCCAAGUAACCAAAACAGACUUUGGGGCCCACCGCCUGCCCCGACGGCGCCCGACACCCCGUAACAGUCUACACUCAGCUAGUAUAAGCUCGGCGUCCCAGCACGAGCACAAACACAAGCUACACUACCCUGGGUAUCCAUCGCACAUAGCCCGCGACGAUACAAUGCAACAUGGCUCCUAGAGCUAAAUCCGGCAGUGUAUGUAAAUGACGAUCAACUCGGGAUUUUCUCCUAAGUCAAAUCCAAGUCCAACAAGUAUCAAUUAUCAUUACUCACUAAGCAUGCUCCCAAUUCAGGUUUUUAAUAUACUAAUCCAUGAAUUUGAGCUACCUCGUUUAGUGUUCAACGAACAAAGCAUACAAGUCGACUAAUAUGUACUUAGAGGCAAAACCGAUGAACCCACCUCUCUCAAGCAACUCCUGGCAGCGAAGAAAGUGGCCCGGAUUCAAAUUGAUCCCUCGCUGGUCCGUCGAAGUCCCCGGUUCCCCUGCUGCGAAGAGGUAAACCCAAUUACACUCAAAAUCACAAAAUCUGCCCAGAAAACAGCAGCGAAGAAAGCGUUAAAUCCGACCAAGCUAACCUUAUCCAAAUUCAGCAAACAAGGGUUCUGAAGCUUCGUCUCGAAGUCACGGAUCCAAUGGCCCAGGUUUCGCUGAAUUCCGACGCUCCUACGCAGAGAACGGGCCAGAAUACGAAACGUCGACGCUGGAACCUGCGAAACAGUAUCUCUGAAAUCUGCUCGGCAAACAGCAGCCUAGUAAAACUAGGGUUCGACAGGGCAAACCUGCUCCAAAAAUCACGAUCUUGGGCUCAGAAUCUUCGUCUCAAAGUCGCGAAUCUAGCACGCCAAAUUUCGUCGCGUUCCGACACUCCUACACAGAGAACUAGGUAAAACACGGCGGGUCGAUGCUGGAAUCAGCAAUCAGCACUUCAGAGUCUGCUCGGCAAACAGCAACUCAGUAAAAAGGGAUUUCGACAGAGCAAACCUUCUCCAAAUCGGGCGAGUAAGGAUCCUAUGAAUUCGUCUCGAAGUCUCGGUUCCAACGAAUCAAACCGCGUCACGUUCCGAUGCUCCUGCGCGGAAUACGAGUCAAAGCUCUGCGGGUCGACGCUGGAAUCAACAGCAGCAGCAGUGCAGUUCGAAAAUCGUAGAAGUUUAAAGCCAAAAAAAAAAAAGCGAUCUCGAGGAACCACUCACCUCGACAAACCCUCCCUGCGAGCAGCACCUCGUCGAAAACUCGCUCGAUCCGCUACGCGGCGCGUCGUCGACGAAGCUCGAGCUUCUCUUGAGCUCCUCCAACACUCUAGGUUGCUAAGGGAAGUAAAAGGAGAGGAAGAAGAAGCACAGCAACAGCAGCAGCAUGAAGGAGCUCCCCUCUCUCUCUCCUCUCUGCUCCAAGAUAAGGGUUAAAGGGGGGUGAUGUGACAAGAUGGCCAAAAAGUCAACUUGCACCCUGCUUCCACUUUGUACCGGUACAGCUCACUGAAAAUCUGCUAUUUCGCAGAUCUUCAAGAUACCCGCUGCUCUCAAGUUCCCACAAGGCCCGUUUGGCGUCCACUUCGCGCCAACGCGACCCGGACUUGUCCUGACACUCUCCAGAGCUGUCGACAAGCCUCAGCUAAAAUUCUAGGUCUCUACACGUCGUGAGAUAUUUCAGCUUUCCUCGAAAUCUUGGAUUCUUCGUUCUUCGACGAUACGCAUCGAUCCUUCAAGAUUUCGACUCAAUUCACGAAACUUGCCAACACACAAGACUUAACAUAGUGGCAUGUAGCUGUAGAGUUUUUCAGCUUCCUUUACUAUCUUUGAGCAUACUUUCUGUAGACUUAGCGGGUGAGCCGUUUAGGUCUGUAGCGCUACCAACUGAGGACUACUUCUUUUUGCAGUAGUUCUCACACCCAGUUGUUGACCCCUUUUUGCAAAGCCUUCGUCUUCGGCUGCUGGUGGUGCUGAUAUAGAUAGUGGAAAGGGAGUCGCGAGCUAGAUCCCUUCCAGACGUGUUUCAGAGCUAGAGGAGUUCCUCCCACAGGUAGUUUUUGGGUCAUUCGGUGUUCUUGUACAUACCUAUGUCUGUUGGCUCGCUGGAGCGAAUGGUGUCUGUAUUUUGGACUGUGUAUGUAUAGUGAACCUGGUUUUUAUUAUAUAUAUUUCUUUUAGCAGCUCUCUACCUUGUGGUUGUAGCUUGAUUGUGUUUACAGGUACAGUUAUCGCUUCGUAUACUAGAAAAUUUCUAAGUAUACGGCGAAUCUGUUGGCGUGCCCAAGGAAACGAGUAAUCCGGGGCGUGACAAUUUUUGUUAUUCCCACUUAUAUCCCAAACCAAAUGGGUUAGGGUUGAGUGGAUGGUUGGUUAAAUAGUAUGAUCUAAUAGAUGAAAAUAAUCAAAGAGGUAGAUCUAAUAGUGGAAAAUUUGAUAGCACCAAGCGCUUUAUGCUAUUGAUAGUAUAGUAAUUGGAUUCUCUCUCUCUUUCUCUCUCUCAUUGAUGCUAUUAGAUUUUCAAUCCUUGGAUGAUGGGAUGUGCGAUUAGAAUGACAGUGGUCCCCUCGGAUUGAGUGGAUGGUUGAUUGAAUAGUGCGAUGUCACGCCCUGGAUUACCGGGGAAACCAGAUUACCACGUUUCCUCGGACACGCCAAAAGACCUGUCGUAUACAUAGAAAUUUUUCGUGUAUAUGAAGAGAUAACUAUACCUGUAGAUAGAAUAUAGCUACACCAGAGGUAAAGAGCUGCUAUAACUAAAACAUGUAUAAAAACAUAGAGGGUCCACUAUACAUACAAAAGCCACGGAACAACCUCGCUCCAGCGAGUACAAUGACAUAACGGUAUGUACAUACAAACCCCAAAACUACCUCAGCAUGGUACUCCUCUAACAUAGCAACCAAGGAUGGUAGGGAUCUAGCUCGCGACUCCCUUAUCGCGGUUGAAAUCAGCAACAACAGCAGCAGCGGACGGCCCUGCAAAAAAAAAAGUGGCAACAACAGGGUGUGAGAACUACUACAAAAUAGAAUAGCCCUCAGUGGGUACCGUCACCGACCUUAACGGCCCAUCCACUAAGUCUACAG